AACGAACGCUGGCGGCAGGCCUAACACAUGCAAGUCGAGCGAGACCUUCGGGUCUAGCGGCGGACGGGUGAGUAACGCGUGGGAACGUGCCCUUUGGUUCGGAAUAGCCCCGGGAAACUGGGAGUAAUACCGGAUAAGCCCUACGGGGGAAAGAUUUAUCGCCAAAGGAUCGGCCCGCGUUGGAUUAGGUAGUUGGUGGGGUAAUAGCCUACCAAGCCGACGAUCCAUAGCUGGUUUGAGAGGAUGAUCAGCAACACUGGGACUGAGACACGGCCCAGACUCCUACGGGAGGCAGCAGUGGGGAAUCUUAGACAAUGGGCGAAAGCCUGAUCCAGCCAAGCCGCGUGAGUGAUGAUGGCCUUAGGGUUGUAAAGCUCUUUCAGUGGGGAAGAUAAUGACGGUACCCGCAGAAGAAGCCCCGGCUAACUUCGUGCCAGCCGCCGCCGUAACAC
rnacentral:rRNA from 1 species